CGCAGGGGUUGCCCCUUGUCCCCCAGAGCUCAGGGAAACGGCUCGGGGUCCGCAUAGACCGGGUAGUGUGGACCCCUGGCUUUCUUUCCCAACCACCAUCUUCUUCAGGAGGAGCCCACCGGCCCAGACGGGGAAGCAAGGCUCCACUUCCCCCAGAAGCAGACGAGGGCAAGCGGAUGGAGCCUGUCGUUGUGAUGGGCCGGACCUGUGUUGGAGACUUUUGUCAUGUCCCUGUCACUGUGGAGGGUGUUCCCUGCUCUGCCCUGGUUGACACUGGGUCCACAGUAACCCUGGUGAGGCCGGAUAUUGUGCCAGGUUGGACUCAGUGUGAACCCACAACUGUGCAGCUCCGCACAGUCACAGUUAAAGCAGC
rnacentral:lncRNA from 1 species